CUCCUGCGGGAGGCAGCAGUGGGGAAUAUUGCACAAUGGGCGCAAGCCUGAUGCAGCCAUGCCGCGUGUAUGAAGAAGGCCUUCGGGUUGUAAAGUACUUUCAGCGGGGAGGAAGGCGAUAAGGUUAAUAACCUUGUUGAUUGACGUUACCCGCAGAAGAAGCACCGGCUAACUCCGUGCCAGCAGCCGCGGUAAUACGGAGGGUGCAAGCGUUAAUCGGAAUUACUGGGCGUAAAGCGCACGCAGGCGGUCUGUCAAGUCGGAUGUGAAAUCCCCGGGCUCAACCUGGGAACUGCAUUCGAAACUGGCAGGCUAGAGUCUUGUAGAGGGGGGUAGAAUUCCAGGUGUAGCGGUGAAAUGCGUAGAGAUCUGGAGGAAUACCGGUGGCGAAGGCGGCCCCCUGGACAAAGACUGACGCUCAGGUGCGAAAGCGUGGGGAGCAAACAGGAUUAGAAACCCCUGUAGUCCC
rnacentral:rRNA from 1 species